rnacentral:tRNA from 5 species
GGCCGCAUGGCGGAAUUUGGCAUACGCGAUAGUCUCAAAAACUAUUGUCCGAAAGGAAUUGAGGGUUCAAGUCCCUCUGCGGCUAC